rnacentral:rRNA from 1 species
AACGAACGCUGGCGGCAUGCCUAACACAUGGAAGUCGAACGAGACCUUCGGGUCUAGUGGCGCACGGGUGCGUAACGCGUGGGAACCUGCCCUUAGGUUCGGAAUAACUCCCCGAAAGGGGUGCUAAUACCGGAUAAUGUCUUCGGACCAAAGAUUUAUCGCCUUUGGAUGGGCCCGCGUUGGAUUAGCUAGUUGGUAGGGUAAAAGCCUACCAAGGCGACGAUCCAUAGCUGGUCUGAGAGGAUGAUCAGCCACACUGGGACUGAGACACGGCCCAGACUCCUACGGGAGGCAGCAGUGGGGAAUAUUGGACAAUGGGCGAAAGCCUGAUCCAGCAAUGCCGCGUGAGUGAUGAAGGCCUUAGGGUUGUAAAGCUCUUUUACCCGGGAUGAUAAUGACAGUACCGGGAGAAUAAGCGCCGGCUAACUCCGUG